UACGUAGGGUGCAAGCGUUGUCCGGAAUUAUUGGGCGUAAAGAGCUCGUAGGCGGUUUGUCGCGUCUGCUGUGAAAACGCAAGGCUCAACCUUGCGCCUGCAGUGGGUACGGGCAGACUAGAGUGUGGUAGGGGGGGAUUGGAAUUCCUGGUGUAGCGGUGGAAUGCGCAGAUAUCAGGAGGAACACCGGUGGCGAAGGCGGAUCUCUGGGCCAUUACUGACGCUGAGGAGCGAAAGCGUGGGGAGCGAACAGG
rnacentral:rRNA from 1 species